rnacentral:rRNA from 1 species
UUUAAAUUGAGAGUUUGAUCCUGGCUCAGGACGAACGCUGGCGGCGUGCCUAACACAUGCAAGUCGAGCGAUGAAACUUCCUUCGGGAAGUGGAUUAGCGGCGGACGGGUGAGUAACACGUGGGUAACCUGCCUCAAAGAGGGGGAUAGCCUC